rnacentral:rRNA from 1 species
AGCGAACGCUGGCGGCAGGCUUAACACAUGCAAGUCGAGCGGGCCCUUCGGGGUCAGCGGCGGACGGGUGAGUAACGCGUGGGAACGUGCCUUCUGGUCUGGAAUAACCCUGGGAAACUAGGGCUAAUACCGGAUACGCCCUUUUGGGGAAAGGUUUACUGCCGGAAGAUCGGCCCGCGUCUGAUUAGCGAGUUGGUGGGGUAACGGCCUACCAAGGCGACGAUCAGUAGCUGGUCUGAGAGGAUGAUCAGCCACACUGGGACUGAGACACGGCCCAGACUCCUACGGGAGGGAGCAGUGGGGAAUAUUGGACAAUGGGCGCAAGCCUGAUACAGCCAUGCCGCGUGAGUGAUGAAGGGCUUAGGGUUGUAAAGCUCUUUUAUCCGGGACGAUAAUGACGGUACCGGAGGAAUAAGCCCCGGCUAACUUCGUG